rnacentral:misc_RNA from 1 species
GAAAUGCGAUAAGUAAUGUGAAUUGCAGAAUUCAGUGAAUCAUCGAAUCUUUGAACGCACAUUGCGCCCGCCAGUAUUCUGGCGGGCAUGCCUGUUCGAGCGUCAUUUCAACCAUCAAGCCCCGUGCUUGUGUUGGGGACCUGCGGCUGCCCGCAGGCCCUGAAAACCAGUGGCGGGCUCGCUGUCACACCGAGCGUAGUAGCAACAACCUCGCUCAGGGCGUGCUGCGGGUUCCGGCCGUAAAAAGCCCCAUACGUACCCAAGGUUGACCUCGGAUCAGGUAGGAAGACCCGCUGAACUUAA